rnacentral:rRNA from 1 species
GUGGGGAAUCUUAGACAAUGGGGGAAACCCUGAUCUAGCCAUGCCGCGUGAUCGAUGAAGGCCUUAGGGUUGUAAAGAUCUUUCAGCUGGGAAGAUAAUGACGGUACCAGCAGAAGAAGCCCCGGCUAACUCCGUGCCAGCAGCCGCGGUAAUACGGAGGGGGCUAGCGUUAUUCGGAAUUACUGGGCGUAAAGCGCACGUAGGCGGACUGGAAAGUCAGGGGUGAAAUCCCGGGGCUCAACCCCGGAACUGCCUUUGAAACUCCCAGUCUUGAGUUCGAGAGAGGUGAGUAGAAUUCCGAGUGUAGAGGUGAAAGUCGUAGAUAUUCGGAGGAACACCAGUGGCGAAGGCGGCUCACUGGCUCGAUACUGACGCUGAGGUGCGAAAGCGUGGGGAGCAAACAGGAUUAGAAACCCGAGUAGUCC